GACGAACGCUGGCGGCGUGCCUAAUACAUGCAAGUCGAGCGCAGGAAACUGACGGAACUCUUCGGAGGGAAGGCAGUGGAAUGAGCGGCGGACGGGUGAGUAACACGUAAGGAACCUGCCUCAAGGAUUGGGAUAACUCCGAGAAAUCGGAGCUAAUACCGGAUAGUUCAACGGACCGCAUGGUCCGCUGAUGAAAGGCGCUCCGGCGUCACCUUGAGAUGGCCUUGCGGUGCAUUAGCUAGUUGGUGGGGUAACGGCUCACCAAGGCGACGAUGCAUAGCCGACCUGAGAGGGUGAUCGGCCACACUGGGACUGAGACACGGCCCAGACUCCUACGGGAGGCAGCAGUAGGGAAUCUUCCACAAUGGACGAAAGUCUGAUGGAGCAACGCCGCGUGAGUGAUGAAGGUUUUCGGAUCGUAAAACUCCGUUGUAAGGGAAGAACACGUACGAGAGGAAAUGCUCGUACCUUGACGGUACCUUACGAGAAAGCCACGGCUAACUACGUGCCAGCCGCCGCAGUAA
rnacentral:rRNA from 1 species